rnacentral:lncRNA from 1 species
UACAAAAUAUUAACUUCAAAAAUUUCAUCAAUAAAUGCCCAAAUCUUGUUUGACACAUUCACAACAGCUUGAUCCAAACCAAUUCUUGCUCUAUAUCUCUCCAUUUUGUUAGACUGCUGCAUAAGUUCAAUUAUUCCAAUGAAUUGAAAUUGAUGUGUCCGAUGCAUUGUAACCAGCCUUUGAAAUGCUUGCUUUGUAUUUACUGAUCUCACAUUUCCAGCUAAUGGCAUCCAUUAGAUGUUUUUGUGUUUGGACAGAUAGCUCCUUGUUUUUACUCCCUUGGAUUGUGCAUUUGAGUUCUCUUUUGACUGUUUCUUUUUUUCUUUUGCUGGAAAUUUCACAGGUUCAAUAUGCCUUGGAGACAUACCCCCAUGCUUAGCAACAUUAAGGGAAAUUUGAGCAGUGGAAUCUUCCUCCAAAUCUACAUCUCUUAUUUCCGCGUGUGUCGAGCAACAUUAAGGGAAAUUUGAGCAGUGAAAUCUUCCUCCAAAUCUACAUCUCUUAUUUCCGCGUGUGUCGCGGUGUUAUGAGUUUCUACUUCUGCUUCCUUAAUAGUGUUUAGAUUUGCAUCCCUUAUUGCAUAGAUUUGCACUGAUUUGUUUUUGUUUUCGUCUAUACUUUGCUCUUGAUUUUCAUCUGAAUUUUUUGCUUCACUCAAUAGUUGAAUCUCAUCAAUAUACAAGCUUCCUCCUGGAUCUAUGGUAUUGAUAUUUCCUUCUGAUGACU